rnacentral:rRNA from 1 species
UACGUAGGCAGCGAGCGUUGUUCGGAGUUACUGGGCGUAAAGGGUGUGUAGGCGGUCCUCCAAGUUUGGUGUGAAAUCUCCCGGCUCAACCGGGAGGGUGCGCCGAAAACUGGGGGGCUAGAGUGCGGGAGGGGAGAGUGGAAUUCCUGGUGUAGCGGUGAAAUGCGUAGAUAUCAGGAGGAACACCGGUGGUGUAGACGGCUCUCUGGACCGUAACUGACGCUGAGGCGCGAAAGCUAGGGGAGCAAACAGG